GACAGCAGCAGCCGCGGGAAUACGAGGGGGGCAAGCGUUGUUCGGAAUUAUUGGGCGUAAAGGGUGCGUAGGCGGCUUGACAAGUCUUGUGUGAAAUCUAUGGGCUCAACCCAUAGUCUGCACGGGAAACUGUCGGGCUUGAGAAUGGGAGAGGUGAGUGGAAUUUCCGGUGUAGUGGUGAAAUGCGUAGAUAUCGGAAGGAACACCUGUGGCGAAAGCGGCUCACUGGACCAUAACUGACGCUGAUGCACGAAAGCUAGGGGAGCAAACAGGAUUAGAUACCCCAGUAGUCCCUGUCUCUUAUAC
rnacentral:rRNA from 1 species